GGAGAGUGAGAGAGGUAGAGAGAAAGGGAGAGAGCAAGAGAGGGAUAAAAAGAGAACAGUCUCCAGCUUGAUCAGACUAUUAAUCAAAAUGUCUUGGUCUUAUCGCAGUUCAGAUCUUUUGACAACAUAUAGCUUGUUUUCUCAUUGCAUUAUGGCAGUCCGCCUCACGUCGGCCAGAUAAAUAAAUCCAAAUGUAAUUUAGCCAGAUUUCCCCUCGCUAACUUCUAGAUGUCUAGAUGUGGAACACAUCAAACUACUUUGGCCAACUUCCUCUGAGUUGAUGACCUUUAUUCUUUCAGAACCCCAUGCUCAGAAAGGUUGAUUUGAGGUGACAUGAAGUCAAUGACUGUAAUAGUACAUAGCAAGAGUUCAACACUCAAUUAGAAAUGCAAAAGUCCUAUUGAAACCUGAGAGCAUCAAAGCUCAUGAACUGGUUGGUCACAGACACAGAGGGAAAUGCCUCUUCAAGUGUCCACUUAGUAUAUCAAAUUCCACAGGAAGGACAGUCAAAAAACCUUUCCAUUCACAAGCACAACAACAAGACUAUUUCUUAGGCAUUAUCGUGUCCAUAUAGACGAUGAGAGACAGCCAAGUAAAGGGUGCUUUUCUGCCUGGCCUGCAGGCUAUUAGAAUCAGCAGGUUGUUGUCCCCUGCACCGACAGACAGGGCCUCAGCGAACGCUGACUGACUGACACACGGAGACCGAUAGUGAGAUCUAGCAGGUGCAUUUGACUUGCAUUCCUCUGAUCUGUAGCAACACCAGUGGACUUGUCUUCUUAGCUCGCCCUGUAAUAAGCUGCUUCAAACAUCAGUAUGUACUGAUAACAUCUGGAGUAGGUCGUUUUUCCCUUUCAGAGAGCUUCUUUUAUUUUCUCCCACUUUUAGUGCUUUUAAGAAAAUGUCAGUUGAAUCAUAUCUUAAUGCUUUGAUAAUGGGUUCUUUUACAUGCUCGGAGCCGAACAGUUACUUCAGUGUCUUAAAUAUCCAGUAUAUGGAAGAAAUUAGAAAAAGUCUCUAAAUUAAAUUUGCUCAGGCCUUGUUUUGCCAGAGUGGGGGUAGCUGAAGCCCUAUGCAACCCAACUUGACCAUCAUACAGAGACAUUUAAUUGUUUCAUGAAGAACUAUUGCCAAUCAGACCAGAAUACUUCAAAUUGAACGAGUAUCUGUAAAUGACAGUGUUGUAAGAGCAAAUAGUGAGGUUACUAAGUGGAGUAUGAACAGGCUAGAAUCCUGCAGCACUACAAGGACUGGGGUCAAUGUAAUAGUGGAAUUAUGUUGUUUUCUCAUUGGUUUUAUCUCACUAUUUGUGUUGAUGGUAAUCUAUAAAUGUAGGUCGCAAAUGAUGUGCUAACAAUAGAAAAAUACUGUUAUAAAUGGUACCCACUAAUGAAUAACUCUAUUGUGUGUUAACUUGUGGGGGUAUUGAGGGACAGAAACGUGGAGCUGUGAGUGUUGGAGCCUGCAGGUGCAAAUCCAGCUGCUAGACUUCUGCACAUGUUUUCCUCUGUUCUGUCAGUCAAAAUGACAGGCAGGUUGGGCUGAAGUGGAGGAGGGCCAUAGACAAAGGUCAAGUGUGGAAGGGUUGAACCUGGUGCCUUCUGAGCCAGUCAUCCAUCCCCAAGACCCUAACGUGAUUCCUCAUAGCUUCAGCUCAUGAGUUCAGGAAUGUAGUCUACUACACGAGGGGAAGAGAAGAGAAGAGCAAGCCUGUAAGCCUGCCCAGGGAGCCUGCCCAGGGAGCCUGCACAGGGAGCCUGCCCAAGGAGCCUGCCCAGGGAACCUGCCCAGGGAGCCUGUCCAGGGAGCCUGUCCAGGCAACCAUGUCUGACAAAAACACUCAUUAGAUUCCAUACCACUUUAUGAUAAGGUACCCUUAUAUACUUUAGUCCUUAACAUUAUACAAGAUCCCACAACACUUUACAUUAAGGUACCCUUUUCAACCCUAAGGGGAAAGGGUUUAUAGCCAGUUAAGUAUGCUUAUUUAUAAAUCAUUAAUAAACUAUAUGACUUAUGGGGUGAUGUUAUUUCUUCAUAGUAGGAAUGAUCCAGAAUCCAAUAAAAUAUCAUAGGAUCCAAUUCAAUGGAUAUCAUCUGUAAACAAUCAAAUACAACAAUGAUAUAAUCCAAAAAAGUUUCAACUGUUGAAAUUCUAUAUCUAGUUAGCAAUCCACUUCUAAUAGAACUGAAACAACUUUGCUGGAGGGGACAGAUCUUCAACAAUAUUUAUUAUGUUACAAUGGGCUUAGCCCCCUAAUUAAUGAAUGUUAAUUCCCUUAUGGAUGUCAACUGUUUAUUAUUUCCCCCACCAAAUGAACAUCUACACUGGGUUUGUUAUCUUUCUAACUACUACUGUAUACUACCUCCAGUCUUUAUAAUGAGCCUUUUAAAAGACACUUACCUCCGGAUGCUAAUUGUUUUUGUUUGAUUUUGG